rnacentral:rRNA from 1 species
GGAGGCAGCAGUGGGGAAUAUUGCACAAUGGGCGCAAGCCUGAUGCAGCGACGCCGCGUGAGGGAUGAAGGCCUUCGGGUUGUAAACCUCUUUCAGUAGGGAAGAAGCCGGUCUUUUGGGUUGGUGACGGUACCUGCAGAAGAAGCGCCGGCUAACUACGUGCCAGCAGCCGCGGUAAUACGUAGGGCGCAAGCGUUAUCCGGAAUUAUUGGGCGUAAAGAGCUCGUAGGCGGUUUGUCGCGUCUGCCGUGAAAGUCCGGGGCUUAACUCCGGAUCUGCGGUGGGUACGGGCAGACUAGAGUGCAGUAGGGGAGACUGGAAUUCCUGGUGUAGCGGUGAAAUGCGCAGAUAUCAGGAGGAACACCGAUGGCGAAGGCAGGUCUCUGGGCUGUAACUGACGCUGAGGAGCGAAAGCAUGGGGAGCGAACAGGAUUAGAUACCCUGGUAGUCCAUGCCGUAAACGUUGGGCACUAGGUGUGGGGGACAUUCCACGUUUUCCGCGCCGUAGCUAACGCAUUAAGUGCCCCGCCUGGGGAGUACGGCCGCAAGGCUAAAACUCAAAGGAAUUGACGGGGGCCCGCACAAGCGGCGGAGCAUGCGGAUUAAUUCGAUGCAACGCGAAGAAC